rnacentral:rRNA from 1 species
AGAGUUUGAUCAUGGCUCAGAACGAACGCUGGCGGCAGGCUUAACACAUGCAAGUCGAACGCCCCGCAAGGGGAGUGGCAGACGGGUGAGUAACGCGUGGGAAUCUGCCUAGUUCUACGGAACAACUGAGGGAAACUUCAGCUAAUACCGUAUACGCCCUAAGGGGGAAAGAUUUAUCGGAAUUAGAUGAGCCCGCGUAAGAUUAGCUAGUUGGUGGGGUAAUGGCCUACCAAGGCGACGAUCUUUAGCUGGUCUGAGAGGAUGAUCAGCCACACUGGGACUGAGACACGGCCCAGACUCCUACGGGAGGCAGCAGUGGGGAAUAUUGGACAAUGGGCGCAAGCCUGAUCCAGCCAUGCCGCGUGAGUGAUGAAGGCCUUAGGGUUGUAAAGCUCUUUCAGUGGGGAAGAUAAUGACGGUACCCACAGAAGAAGCCCCGGCUAACUUCGUGCCAGCAGCCGCGGUAAUACGAAGGGGGCUAGCGUUGUUCGGAUUUACUGGGCGUAAAGCGCACGUAGGCGGAUUGUUAAGUCAGGGGUGAAAUCCUGGAGCUCAACUCCAGAACUGCCUUUGAUACUGGCAAUCUAGAGUCCGGAAGAGGUGAGUGGAACUCCUAGUGUAGAGGUGGAAUUCGUAGAUAUUAGGAAGAACACCAGUGGCGAAGGCGGCUCACUGGUCCGGUACUGACGCUGAGGUGCGAAAGCGUGGGGAGCAAACAGGAUUAGAUACCCUAGUAGUCC